rnacentral:rRNA from 1 species
ACGAACGCUGGCGGCGUGCUUAACACAUGCAAGUCGAGCGGUAAGGCCCUUUCGGGGGUACACGAGCGGCGAACGGGUGAGUAACACGUGGGUGACCUGCCCUCAGCUCUGGGAUAAGCCUGGGAAACUGGGUCUAAUACUGGAUAUGACUCCAUGACGCAUGUUGUGGGGUGGAAAGCCUUGUGCGGCUGAGGAUGGGCCCGCGGCCUAUCAGCUUGUUGGGGGGUGAGU